UUUUGAAAUCUUCACUAUCGGAAGGAUGGAUGGAGCGGAUCUCCAUAUUAUUCUUAACCGUUAAUCAACUGGAGCUACAAUAAACGGAAACAGUGAGAAUUUAUUUUCCCGUUGGUCAGAGCAGAAAGUGCUUUCUGCUACAAAAUUUUGGCUAAUGUACAUUGAUAAAGUAAAGGCUCCGUAGCAAUUCCAAAAAUAUGAAGUGGGCUGAAUAAAGCACGAUUCACACAGUACAUCAGGCUUCAGUCGCCGGUACGGAACGUCAUUCACACACAACGGCACGGAAUGUUUUGACGUACGGUACGUGUGAAUGAAUACUGCAACUAUCUCCGACAAUAACAGUAGUAGCAACAAUAUCAAUUACUUGUCACAGCAACCGUUUUUCUAAAAUAAGUCAGCCGAACAAUUUAUAUACGUUCCAGCGAAAAAAACAAUGUGAUUAGUCUCUGAGUUCAUUAAGCUUUUUCCAGGACUAGUUUCGUGGAAUUUACGUGUUGUGUAAAGCAGAUUGAUUUGGAGCUGAUCGCGAACGAACGAAUUGCCUCAAUGGGCAAACACAAUCAUAACCCGAUGUCUCACAAGCAGAAAUCGCGUGGAGUUGCAGCUAAACAUCACCGAUUCUAAUGAGUGCAACCGUUGUAUCAUACCGGUCGUUUGAGGGUGUGCUCUCGGAUCAGAAGGUGCUCCUGCCUACAUAAUCGUCUCGGAUAUGAUCAAUAUAAAUCCUCGACAAGACGUUUUCGAUGUCGCUAAAAGCAAAAGCAUGCAAUUGCCCGAUGCGACGUGAAAAUGUUUCAACGUAUGCUAGAAUCACUGGGGAAUCGGGUCGACAAAGUAUGUACGGGUAACGAACAAGCGAGUGAAGAAGAGCAAGAAAGCUUAUACGGCUGUGAAGAAGUAUGCUUUGCUGGAUUUUAAUUGGUGCGAAAACGCUUGGGAAA